ensembl:lncRNA
UCUCUCAGCUACAGAGUCAUGUCCACUGAUUCUCUCUCAGACUACAGAGUCUUGUCCACUGAUUCUCUCUCAGACUACAGAGUCUUGUCCACUGAUUCUCUCUCAGACUACAGAGUCUUGUCCACUGAUUCUCUCUCCGACUACAGAGUCUUGUCCACUGAUUCUCUCUCAGACUACAGAGUCUUGUCCACUGAUUCUCUCUCAGACUACAGAGUCUUGUCCACUGAUUCUCUCUCAGACUACAGAGUCAUGUCCACUGAUUCUCUCUCAGACUACAGAGUCUUGUCCACUGAUUCUCUCCCAGACUACAGAGUCUUGUCCACUGUUUCUCUCUCAGACUAUUGAGUCUAAUAUCACCCUCCUCCCCCAAAACAGGCAUGUGCAGGAAGAGGAACACUGACUCCAAAUCAGAGGAUCCUAGCUAUAAGGAGAAUGCCCAGUCUCCUGGAAUACUUCAGCUACAACUGUAACUUCAUGGGGAUUCUGGCCGGUCCCACCAGCUCUUACAACGAUUACAUUGCCUUCAUUGAGGCACGCCCUGCCGUCGCCAUGCUGACCACCAGAUCAACACAAAGGACGUUGGCAGGCACAAGCAUACUGACCCCUCCCCAAACAUCGAAGUCGUCCGUAAGCUGGCCACCUGCUUCCUGUCCCUCAUGGUCUUCCUCUCCGUCUGUAAAGUGUUCCCCGUGGAACGCAACAUCAGCGAUGACUUCAUUGCCACCACGCCCUUCUACGCCCAGGUGGUGUACCUUACCUGUCCAUGCUGACCACCCGGCCCAAGUACUAUUUCGUCUGGAAGCUGGGUGGGUCUCCUCUCUGCCUCCUGGGCUGAUUCUCCAGCCUUCAUUUUGGACGCUGCGUAAACCAGUCCAACACGUCCAUAUCUGGGGAUUCGGGGAGAAGGGAGGGAAUAU